UACAGGGGGGGCAAGCGUUGUUCGGAAUUACUGGGCGUAAAGGGUUCGUAGGUGGCCACUUAAGUCAGACGUGAAAUCCCUCAGCUUAACUGGGGAACUGCGUCUGAUACUGGUUGGCUUGAGUGCAGGAGAGGAAUGCGGAAUUCCAGGUGUAGCGGUGAAAUGCGUAGAUAUCUGGAGGAACACCGGUGGCGAAGGCGGCAUUCUGGACUGCAACUGACACUGAAGAACGAAAGCCAGGGGAGCAAACGGG
rnacentral:rRNA from 1 species